rnacentral:rRNA from 1 species
GUUAUAUGGUCAAGUGAAGAAGCGCAUACGGUGGAUGCCUUGGCAGUCAGAGGCGAUGAAAGACGUGGUAGCCUGCGAUAAGCUUCGGGGAGUCGGCAAACAGACUUUGAUCCGGAGAUCUCUGAAUGGGGGAACCCAACCAGCACAAGCUGGUUAUCUUGCACUGAAUACAUAGGUGCCAGAAGCGAACCAGGGGAACUGAAACAUCUAAGUACCCUGAGGAAAAGAAAUCAACCGAGAUUCCCUUAGUAGUGGCGAGCGAACGGGGACUAGCCCUUAAGUGGCUUUGAGAUUAGCGGAACGCUCUGGAAAGUGCGGCCAUAGUGGGUGAUAGCCCUGUACGCGAA